rnacentral:lncRNA from 10 species
GGCGGCGCGGCGGGGACCGAGAGCUGCGGGCGGGCUGGAGGUACCCCACCGCGGGGUGGUGCUCUGACUGCGGGAACCGUUGAAGAGCUGCCCCCGGGGAGUCAGCGAGGCGCCACUCCCCGCUUGCUUCCCUGCCCGCCCUGUGUGAUCUAACUGCAAGCCCUUUCCCUUAAGAGUUGGAGCCUGUUUGUCCAACCUUGUGAUCAUUUCCUUGUGGUCUCUUAGACAUCUUCUCAAGAUUAUGCUAAGAGAAAUGACUGCACCCUUUUCCUGAGCUAUGGCAGUCAGACCUGGCAGUGGUAACUACUCUACAGAACUCCCAAACCUGGCAAGGAUGGUGCAGAUUUUGGCAGAUUAUGGCUUUGUCCCCACCCAGCACUGAUGAUAUUAUAAGCAGACCUAUACUACAAGAAAUGAUAAUGGAAGUUCUUCAACUGAGCAAGAAAUGAUAUUAACAGAAAACUUGGAUCUUCAGAAGCAAAUGAAGAACAUCAGAAAU